rnacentral:ncRNA from 1 species
AGCGAUAAAAACACAACGCAGAUAAAUCUGCAGAGCCGGUAGGUAGUCCGGCCGUACCACAGGCAUAACAGCAUGCGGUAUAAGUAACCCUCCCUCCUUGGGUCGUCCAUUCGCUGUUUAAUU